GAUGAACGCUAGCUACAGGCUUAACACAUGCAAGUCGAGGGGCAGCGAUGAAGAAAGCUUGCUUUCUUCAGGCGGCGACCGGCGCACGGGUGAGUAACGCGUAUCGAACCUGCCUCAUACUCAGGAAUAGCCUUGCGAAAGUAAGAUUAAUGCCCGAUGUUAUUAGGAUAUCACAUGAUGUUUUAAUUAAAGAUUUAUCGGUAUGAGAUGGCGAUGCGUCCCAUUAGCUUGUUGGCGGGGUAACGGCCCACCAAGGCAUCGAGUGGUAGGGGUUCUGAGAGGAAGGUCCCCCACAUUGGAACUGAGACACGGUCCAAACUCCUACGGGAGGCAGCAGUGGGGAAUAUUGGACAAUGGGCGAAAGCCUGAUCCAGCCAUGCCGCGUGUGUGAAGAAGGUCUUCGGAUUGUAAAGCACUUUAAGUUGGGAGGAAGGCAGUAACCUAAUACG
rnacentral:rRNA from 1 species